rnacentral:rRNA from 1 species
UGGUCGGUGGACAGGUGGUGCAUGGUUGUCGUCAGCUCGUGUCGUGAGAUGUUGGGUUAAGUCCUGCAACGAGCGCAACCCUCGUCCUAUGUUGCCAGCGGGUCAUGCCGGGGACUCAUGGGAGACUGCCGGGGUCAACUCGGAGGAAGGUGGGGAUGACGUCAAAUCAUCAUGCCCCUUAUGUCUUGGGCUUCACGCAUGCUACAAUGGCCGGUACAAAGGGCUGCGAUACCGCGAGGUGGAGCGAAUCCCAGAAAGCCGGUCUCAGUUCGGAUUGGGGUCUGCAACUCGACCCCAUGAAGUCGGAGUCGCUAGUAAUCGCAGAUCAGCAACGCUGCGGUGAAUACGUUCCCGGGCCUU